rnacentral:SRP_RNA from 1 species
UGAGGGAGAUUAAGUAGGCAAGUAUAUCAUGAAUCCGGUCAGGUCUGAAAAGAAGCAGCCGUAAUGACUAUACUUGGGUUGCUUUAAUCUCCCACUAAA